rnacentral:rRNA from 1 species
UUAUGCCUACGGGGCGCAGCAGUGGGGGAUAUUGCACAAUGGGGGGAACCCUGAUGCAGCGACGCCGCGUGGGUGAAGAAGUAUUUCGGUAUGUAAAGCCCUAUCGGCAGGGAAGAAAUUGGACGGUACCUGACUAAGAAGCCCCGGCUAACUACGUGCCAGCAGCCGCGGUAAUACGGAGGGGGCAAGCGUUAUCCGGAUUUACUGGGUGUAAAUGGAGCGUAGACGGCCAGAAAAGUCUGAAGUGAAAAUCCAGCGCUUAACGUUGGAAGUGCUUUGGAAAC